rnacentral:lncRNA from 1 species
GGAAAAUAACGUUACAAACUUAGAACAUACAAUGGAAUACAUAAUUCUUUUCUUUAAAUUAAAAAUCGGUUAUUAUAGUUACUGCUAAGUAAACAUUGUACUGUAUAUUAAUUUUGUCUGAAAAAAUUUUACAAAUAAACUACAUAAACUAUUGUGCAGGAGCGUUAAUCCUAUGCUGGGAAUGCUGGGAGAAAGUUCUCAUUUCGCUAAACACGUUGCUCCUAGAGUUCAUAAUCACGCUGCACUAUGCUGCUUCUUAAUUGUGUGUUAUUGUCACUAUAUAUUUUUGACGUGCGCCUUCGAUGCUCUUUGUACUCUUCUUCUAGAAUGUAUUUCCAAGCACUUGGUAAAUCUUUCGCCGUUCUACUAUUGACAAGACAGUGGUCAUGCUUUCUCAUAUUUAUUUCUAUAGUCUCCUGUAAGGUCGCCUGCGCUGCCGAAACAAUCGGUUUUAUGAUUUUGGCUUGGUUCUAAUUUAUCUCUACCUCUUUGCUAUACGCCUCCUCUGCUAGCACUGUGGUGGUUUUACCCAUUUUAAUAUCCCGUUU